AAUGUGACAUACGCAUACAAUGGAAUAUUUUUCAGCCUGAAAAGGGAAGGAAACUCUGUUACAUGUUACGACAUUGAUGAACCUUGAGAACGUUGUGCUAAGUGAAAUAAGCCAGCCUCAAAAGACAAACCCAGUACGGUUCCGCUGAUCUGAGGUGUGAGGUUUCGAGCUGCUGCCGCCAUCACGAUUCCCGGGGGCGUGUCAGCGGGAGGAUGAAAUCGACUUCUAGAGAAAGGCAAAGCAAAAACAAUUAGAGAAAUGGAUGGCGCCCUCUGAGCCUCUGGAUUGAAGGACCUGCAGCCAGCUCUCUCCUCGGACUUUCAGUUGUGUCAGCCAUAAUUUUUUAAAAAGAUGAAGACUGUGUCACAAGUUUCCUGUACUCCCAACUGAAUUCCAAAUAAAAUUGACGACCGGCUCUUGGCAAAAGAUUUCCCAAAGACAUUUCCAUGCACGCUUGUCUAUUUAUUUAUUGGCCGUGGGAUUCGCCACCAUUGGGCGAGUGGGUCAGUGGAAGGUCUGCCUGUCCUGAGGCAGCUCUUGGCAUCUGACCCAUGGUCCUGCAAUGUGAGUUGUGCAGUUGGGCGCCCAGUAUGGAGCCUUUUGCCUUCUGUCCUUCACAAGCUGGGAGGAUAUAUCUUCUACGACAGGAUAAAGAAGCCAUCCUGAGUGUUGGAUACCCAGUCCCGGCGAGGUAGCAUCUUACCGAGGACAGCAAUGGUGGCCAUGUCUCCCAAGACAGCACAAUCUUUUCCAGAGACAGGAAAACAUAAGAUGAAUCUCACCAAGGCCAAGGAGAGAAGAUCGCCCACUCCCUUACUGCUCCAGACCUAGAGGCACAAGGCUAGAGUUGCCAAGAAAGUUACUGUAUUGACAGGCUUCAUGUUUCAGUUCUGGCUUGCCGCUGGUCAUCUAAACACUCUUUGGUACACUGAGGAACAGAAUGGCCAUCAGCACCGAGGGAGAGAACAGAAGUGUGGUCUUUGGCUGAGUGGAACACACAAGACAGAACCUGGACUGCUCCACCCAACCCAUGGAAGUUUCCUUGGGGGAGAAGAAAAUUGCGGAGAAGGGGCUGUUUUUCUGUUUUCUCGGGACGUCCCCGAGGGUGGAGAAGAAGAGGUGUUGCCCAACGGAGCAAGCAUCAGUAGGGAAAGGGGAACUACAGGGGAUUUUCAGAGAUCUCAGCUUGUGGUCUUUGACCCAAGGAACCACGGGUGACAGUUUUACCAAAUGUUUUGUCCCUGCGUAACAAGGCUCACCCAGUUUCCAGCUUACCAUCUGUGUUGUUAUCGCCUGACAUCUGACCUCCUCCAAAAAUUGUUACAUUUUAGGCUCUCUCGUCCCUACGGACUGCAACUUUGGGGCAUUAAUUAUUUGCCAGAUUGGGUCAAACUGACUAUGACCUCAAACUCAAAAUAACAGUGGCUGAAAGAAGAUGAAAGCUUAUGUCUCUCGCCCAUAGUGACUCUAGAAGCAUAGCCCAGGCUGAUAUGGUGCCUCCAAGGUCAUCAGGGACCGAGGCUCCCACUAACCUGUUGUUCUGUCAUCUUAGCCUCAGUCUCCAUGACUUAAGAUGGCUGCUGAGCAUGAAACGUGUCCCCCUUGUUGAAAAAGCCUCCCAGAGGUCCCGGACAAUACUCCUGCUGGUAUGUCACCAUCUGGAAUUUGGUCACUCAUCUAUCCACAAGUGGCUGCAAGGGGGCUGGGAAAUGUCUUUUUUUUUAGUUUUGAGAGAGACAG